UACAGAGGUUGCAAGCGUUAAUCGGAAUUACUGGGCGUAAAGCGCGCGUAGGUGGCAAGUUAAGUCGGAUGUGCAAGCCCUGGGCUCAACCUGGGAACUGCGCUUGAUACUGGUAAACUAGAGUUUAGUAGAGGGAAGUGGAAUUCCACGUGUAGCGGUGAAAUGCGUAGAUAUGUGGAGGAACACCAGUGGCGAAGGCGGCUUCCUGGACUAAAACUGACACUGAGGCACGAAAGCGUGGGUAGCAAACAGG
rnacentral:rRNA from 1 species